GAUGAACGCUGGCGGCGUGCCUAACACAUGCAAGUCGAACGGUGAAAGAGAGCUUGCUCUCUGGAUCAGUGGCGAACGGGUGAGUAACACGUGAGCAAUCUGCCCCUGACUCUGGGAUAAGCGCUGGAAACGGCGUCUAAUACCGGAUACGAGCUGCGAAGGCAUCUUCAGCAGCUGGAAAGAACUUCGGUCAGGGAUGAGCUCGCGGCCUAUCAGCUAGUUGGUGAGGUAACGGCUCACCAAGGCGUCGACGGGUAGCCGGCCUGAGAGGGUGACCGGCCACACUGGGACUGAGACACGGCCCAGACUCCUACGGGAGGCAGCAGUGGGGAAUAUUGCACAAUGGGCGAAAGCCUGAUGCAGCAACGCCGCGUGAGGGACGACGGCCUUCGGGUUGUAAACCUCUUUUAGCAGGGAAGAAGCGAAAGUGACGGUACCUGCAGAAAAAGCACCGGCUAACUACGUG
rnacentral:rRNA from 1 species